rnacentral:rRNA from 1 species
CCCUAGUAACUGCGAGUGAAGCGGGAAAAGCUCAAAUUUAAAAUCUGGUGGUCUUUGGUCAUCCGAGUUGUAAUCUAGAGAAGUGUUAUCCGCGCUGGACCGUGUACAAGUCUCCUGGAAUGGAGCGUCAUAGAGGGUGAGAAUCCCGUCUUUGACACGGACUGCCAGGGCUUUGUGAUGCGCUCUCAAAGAGUCGAGUUGUUUGGGAAUGCAGCUCAAAAUGGGUGGUAAAUUCCAUCUAAAGCUAAAUAUUGGCGAGAGACCGAUAGCGAACAAGUACCGUGAGGGAAAGAUGAAAAGAACUUUGGAAAGAGAGUUAAACAGUACGUGAAAUUGCUGAAAGGGAAACGCUUGAAGUCAGUCGCGUUGUCCGGGAAUCAACCUUGCUUUUGCUGGGCGUAUUUUCCGGUUGACGGGUCAGCAUCAAUUUUGACCGUUGGAUAAAGUUCAGGGGAAUGUGGCAUCUUCGGAUGUGUUAUAGCCUUUGUUCGCAUACAACGGUUGGGAUUGAGGAACUCAGCACGCCGCAAGGCCGGGUAUUUAUACCACGUUCGUGCUUAGGAUGCUGGCAUAAUGGCUUUAAUCGACCCGUCUUGAAACACGGACCAAGGAGUCUAACAUGCCUGCGAGUGUUUGGGUGGAAAACCCGAGCGCGUAAUGAAAGUGAAAGUUGAGAUCCCUGUCGUGGGGAGCAUCGACGCCCGGACCAGACCUUUUGUGACGGAUCCGCGGUAGAGCAUGUAUGUUGGGACCCGAAAGAUGGUGAACUAUGCCUGAAUAGGGUGAAGCCAGAGGAAACUCUGGUGGAGGCUCGUAGCGAUUCUGACGUGCAAAUCGAUCGUCAAAUUUGGGUAUAGGGGCGAAAGACUAAUCGAACCAUCUAGUAGCUGGUUCCUGC